GCCUUAGUAGCUCAGGUUAGUUUGUCCUCCUUUCCCCUCCAAUCCUAACCAUUCUCAGGGGUAGAGCGCGUCACUAGUAGUCUUAAAUUGUUAGAAACAAGGAAAUGACGAGGUCAGAGGUUCGAAUCCUCUCUGAGGCA
rnacentral:tRNA from 1 species